UACGUAGGGUGCAAGCGUUAAUCGGAAUUACUGGGCGUAAAGCGUGCGCAGGCGGUUGUGUAAGUCAGAUGUGAAAUCCCCGGGCUCAACCUGGAAAUUGCAUUUGAGACUGCACGGCUAGAGUGUGUCAGAGGGGGGUAGAAUUCCACGUGUAGCAGUGAAAUGCGUAGAGAUGUGGAGGAAUACCGAUGGCGAAGGCAGCCCCCUGGGAUAACACUGACGCUCAUGCACGAAAGCGUGGGGAGCAAACAGG
rnacentral:rRNA from 1 species